CUCUUGGGGGCCCCGCGGGGUGGGAGCAGCUGGAGGCCCGGGGCGGUCGGCUCUCCCCCGAGGCCUCGCAGCCGGGACCCCAGAAUAAGUCGGGGGCGGGCGCGGCGCGGCGGGAGGGGGCCGGGCGCGCAGAUCCCACCCCUUCCUGAAGGAAGCGCCCUCCUCGCCGCCACCACCGCCGCCGCCGCUGCCGCCGCCGCCGCCGCAGCCGCAGGUCACGGCCCCGCGAGGCUGCCGCGGCCCCGCCGCACCGGAGCAGGUAGGCGCGGCGCCCCUCCCCCGCCCGGGCCCGCCGGGCAACCAGGGGGCGUCGGCCCCGCUCCGCGCCCAGCCGGGAGGCGGAGAUCCGGGCGGCGGGGUCCUCCCGGCCGCGGGGCCCCGCUCGGCUUCGGCGCCCUCCCGCAGCGCCCCGGGCGAGGCGCGGUGCCCGGCGGCGUCCCGGGCUCCCGGCGGCGCUCCCCGCGCCCGGAGUGGGGAGCCGGCACGACCCGGCUCCGCCGCCGCCGCAGUGCCGUCCCCGAGCCUCCGCGCCGCCCGCCGCCUGCGGCUCAGCUCCAGUCCUUUGACAGGUGUCCCCGAUCGCCGCCCCGUGCAGAUCCCCGGGCCUGUUGUGGUCGGGUGGUCUCUGGUCAAGUUUGGCCUCCCACUCUCACUGCCGUUCGCCGUUCACUUUACCGUGAGCCAAGUCAGGCUGGGUUGAGAAGCGGGGGACCCGGGAAGGAGGCACGAACUUGCCUUGCCCUGUGCACCGCCCCCCCGCCAAAUGCACAGUCUUGCUUUCCUGUCCUGGGUGCACACUUGGGAAGAAAUGGGAUUUUCGGUUUCUCCGGGAGACGGCGGUGGGUGGGUUACCGAGGCUGUUUGGUCGUCCGUUGCAAUAAAAAAGUGAUUAGCUUUGGGUUAUGGAGAGAGCCCUUGCCUGGUGAUUUUUCUCCUCCUGAAAUGAAUCAAAUCGAGAAUGAGAGUGGUUUUCCCAUUUUAAAUCCACAAUCCUUUUCUCUCUACUCAUCCCUCCCCUGCGUCCACCCCUACCUCCAUAGCACUUUCUUAUAUCCGGAACACUGCACUGGUUUUUUGGUCGGGCUUAUUGCAGCCAGACUGUCUUUCAUGGCUGAGCCAGGACUGUGA
rnacentral:lncRNA from 1 species